rnacentral:rRNA from 1 species
UAGGGAAUCUUCCACGAUGGGCGAAAGCCUGAUGGAGCAACGCCGCGUGAGUGAAGAAGGGUUUCGGCUCGUAAAACUCUGUUGUUAAAGAAGAACAUAUCUGAGAGUAACUGUUCAGGUAUUGACGGUAUUUAACCAGAAAGCCACGGCUAACUACGUGCCAG